rnacentral:misc_RNA from 1 species
AAGUCGUAACAAGGUUUCCGUAGGUGAACCUGCGGAAGGAUCAUUAACACUUAUUAUUAUCCAAUAUCAAAAAUAAAACCAAACGGCAUCUUUUCUUCUCCCUAUUUCGACUACCGGAGACGGGUCGAUUAGGCUAACCUUUUUUUUUAAAAUUAUAACCCCAUUUAAUUUAUGUCUCUAUUUAUUUAUAGAUAUAAACAAAACCAACUCUUCUUUUGUUCAAGUGUGGUUUUACAUCACACAAACAACAAUAAGAACUAAACUAAAAUAUACAUUUGAUUAUAUUUUUAUUUUACGAAAUAAUAUAUAUUUAUAAGAACAACUCUUAGCAAUGGAUAUCUUGGUUCUC